CAGCAGCCGCGGGAAUACCGAGGGUGCGAGCGUUAAUCGGAUUUACUGGGCGUAAAGCGUGCGUAGGCGGCUAAUUGAGUCGGAUGUGAAAUCCCCGAGCUUAACUUGGGAAUUGCAUUCGAUACUGGUUAGCUAGAGUGUGGGAGAGGAUGGUAGAAUUCCAGGUGUAGCGGUGAAAUGCGUAGAGAUCUGGAGGAAUACCGAUGGCGAAGGCAGCCAUCUGGCCUAACACUGACGCUGAGGUACGAAAGCAUGGGGAGCAAACAGGAUUAGAUACCCCAGUAGUCCCUGUCUCUUAUAC
rnacentral:rRNA from 1 species